rnacentral:rRNA from 1 species
UGCUCGGAUGUUAGCGGCGGACGGGUGAGUAACACGUGGGUAACCUGCCUGUAAGACUGGGAUAACUCCGGGAAACCGGAGCUAAUACCGGAUAGUUCCUUGAACCGCAUGGUUCAAGGAUGAAAGACGGUUUCGGCUGUCACUUACAGAUGGACCCGCGGCGCAUUAGCUAGUUGGUGGGGUAAUGGCUCACCAAGGCGACGAUGCGUAGCCGACCUGAGAGGGUGAUCGGCCACACUGGGACUGAGACACGGCCCAGACUCCUACGGGAGGCAGCAGUAGGGAAUCUUCCGCAAUGGACGAAAGUCUGACGGAGCAACGCCGCGUGAGUGAUGAAGGUUUUCGGAUCGUAAAGCUCUGUUGUUAGGGAAGAACAAGUGCGAGAGUAACUGCUCGCACCUUGACGGUACCUAACCAGAAAGCCACGGCUAACUACGUGCCAGCAGCCGCGGUAAUACGUAGGUGGCAAGCGUUGUCCGGAAUUAUUGGGCGUAAAGGGCUCGCAGGCGGUUUCUUAAGUCUGAUGUGAAAGCCCCCGGCUCAACCGGGGAGGGUCAUUGGAAACUGGGAAACUUGAGUGCAGAAGAGGAGAGUGGAAUUCCACGUGUAGCGGUGAAAUGCGUAGAGAUGUGGAGGAACACCAGUGGCGAAGGCGACUCUCUGGUCUGUAACUGACGCUGAGGAGCGAAAGCGUGGGGAGCGAACAGGAUUAGAUACCCUGGUAGUCCACGCCGUAAACGAUGAGUGCUAAGUGUUAGGGGGUUUCCGCCCCUUAGUGCUGCAGCUAACGCAUUAAGCACUCCGCCUGGGGAGUACGGUCGCAAGACUGAAACUCAAAGGAAUUGACGGGGGCCCGCACAAGCGGUGGAGCAUGUGGUUUAAUUCGAAGCAACGCGAAGAACCUUACCAGGUCUUGACAUCCUCUGACAACCCUAGAGAUAGGGCUUUCCCUUCGGGGACAGAGUGACAGGUGGUGCAUGGUUGUCGUCAGCUCGUGUCG